AAGACUGUCCCCAUCAUCACAUCAGUUUGAGGGACCUUUUGCAGCAAGAAAAUACGCUGGAAAGCAUACAAUGCCCGAAAAGACCAAAACGAAUUUAACUGCAGGCCUAUAGAAGCCGUCGAAGACAUCUUCGUCUUCUGGGCAAGUAGCUCGAGACAAGAACAACGUGGUGCCAAUUUCAGUGCACGCGAAGCCUGAAUCUGAACUGAACGCGAUUGCAGGUGUACACUUUUUGUAUGCGGAACACUAAUGGCAAAAUAAACUCCGCUAGUAAAGACUAA